rnacentral:tRNA from 1 species
GUCUUCGUGGCUCAGUCGGUAGAGCGUUGGUCUCAUAUUACUCAAUAUGACUCUGUCACAGACAGAGAUAUCCAAAGGUCGAGAGUUCGAGCCUCUCCGAGGACA